GGCCUUGGCGGCGUGCUAAACAUGCAAGUCGAACGGUGAAGAGAGCUUGCUCUCUGGAUCAGUGGCGAACGGGUGAGUAACACGUGAGCAAUCUGCCCCUGACUCUGGGAUAAGCGCUGGAAACGGCGUCUAAUACCGGAUACGAGCUGCGAAGGCAUCUUCAGCAGCUGGAAAGAACUUCGGUCAGGGAUGAGCUCGCGGCCUAUCAGCUAGUUGGUGAGGUAAUGGCUCACCAAGGCGUCGACGGGUAGCCGGCCUGAGAGGGUGACCGGCCACACUGGGACUGAGACACGGCCCAGACUCCUACGGGAGGCAGCAGUGGGGAAUAUUGCACAAUGGGCGCAAGCCUGAUGCAGCAACGCCGCGUGAGGGACGACGGCCUUCGGGUUGUAAACCUCUUUUAGCAGGGAAGAAGCGAAAGUGACGGUACCUGCAGAAAAAGCACCGGCUAACUACGUGCCAGCAGCCGCGGUAAUACGUAGGGUGCAAGCGUUAUCCGGAAUUAUUGGGCGUAAAGAGCUCGUAGGCGGUUUGUCGCGUCUGCUGUGAAAACUGGGGGCUCAACCCCCAGCCUGCAGUGGGUACGGGCAGACUAGAGUGCGGUAGGGGAGAUUGGAAUUCCUGGUGUAGCGGUGGAAUGCGCAGAUAUCAGGAGGAACACCGAUGGCGAAGGCAGAUCUCUGGGCCGUAACUGACGCUGAGGAGCGAAAGGGUGGGGAGCAAACAGGCUUAGAUACCCUGGUAGUCCACCCCGUAAACGUUGGGAACUAGUUGUGGGGUCCAUUCCACGGAUUCCGUGACGCAGCUAACGCAUUAAGUUCCCCGCCUGGGGAGUACGGCCGCAAGGCUAAAACUCAAAGGAAUUGACGGGGACCCGCACAAGCGGCGGAGCAUGCGGAUUAUUUCGAUGCAACGCGAGACCUUACCAAGGCUUGACAUAUACGAGAACGGGCCAGAAUGUCAACUCUUUG
rnacentral:rRNA from 1 species